CGGUCCUAAGGUAGCGAAAUUCCUUGUCGGGUAAGUUCCGACCUGCACGAAUGGCAUAAUGAUGGCCACACUGUCUCCUCCUGAGACUCAGUGAAGUUGAAGUGUUUGUGAUGAUGCAAUCUCCCCGCGGCUAGACGGAAAGACCCCAUGAACCUUUACUGCAGCUUUGCAUUGGACUUUGAACCGAUCUGUGUAGGAUAGGUGGGAGGCAGUGAAGCUAGGACGCCAGUCUUAGCGGAGCCAACCUUGAAAUACCACCCUGAUUUGUUUGAGGUUCUAACCUGGGAGCGUAAUCCGCUCCGGGGACCGUGCAUGGUAGGCAGUUUGACUGGGGCGGUCGCCUCCUAAAGGGUAACGGAGGAGUGCGAAGGUACGCUAGGCACGGUCGGAAAUCGUGCUGAUAGUGCAAUGGCAAAAGCGUGCUUGACUGCGAGUCCGACAAGACGAGCAGAUACGAAAGUAGGUCAUAGUGAUCCGGUGGCUCUGCAUGGAAGGGCCAUCGCUCAACGGAUAAAAGGUACUCUGGGGAUAACAGGCUGAUACCGCCCAAGAGUUCAUAUCGACGGCGGUGUUUGGCACCUCGAUGUCGGCUCAUCUCAUCCUGGGGCUGUAGCCGGUCCCAAGGGUAUGGCUGUUCGCCAUUUAAAGAGGUACGUGAGCUGGGUUUAAAACGUCGUGAGACAGUUUUGUCCCUAUCUGCCGUGGGCGCUGGAAGAUUGACGGGGGCUGUUCCUAGUACGAGAGGACCGGAAUGGACUCACCUCUGGUGUACCGGUUGUCACGCCAGUGGCACCGCCGGGUAGCUAUGUGGGGAAAGGAUAACCGCUGAAAGCAUCUAAGCGGGAAACCUGCCUGAAGAUAAGUCUUCCUGGAGGCUAGACCUCCCUGAAGAGUCGUUCGAGACCAGGACGUUGAUAGGUCGGGUGUGCAAGCGCUGCGAGGCGUUGAGCUGACCGAUACUAAUUGCUCGUGAAGCUUGAUCCU
rnacentral:rRNA from 1 species